rnacentral:rRNA from 1 species
AGUGAACGCUGGCGGUAGGCCUAACACAUGCAAGUCGAACGGCAGCACAGUAAGAGCUUGCUCUUACGGGUGGCGAGUGCCGGACGGGUGAGGAAUACAUCGGAAUCUACUUUUUCGUGGGGGAUAACGUAGGGAAACUUACGCUAAUACCGCAUACGACCUACGGGUGAAAGCAGGGGAUCUUCGGACCUUGCGCGAUUGAAUGAGCCGAUGUCGGAUUAGCUAGUUGGCGGGGUAAAGGCCCACCAAGGCGACGAUCCGUAGCUGGUCUGAGAGGAUGAUCAGCAAAACUGGAACUGAGACACGGUCCAGACUCCUACGGGAGGCAGCAGUGGGGAAUAUUGGAAAAUGGGCGCAAGCCUGAUCCAGCCAUACCGGGUGGGUGAAGAAGGCCUUCGGGUUGUAAAGCCCUUUUGUUGGGAAAAAAAAGCAGCAGGUUAAUACCCCGCUGUUCUGACGGUACCAAAAGAAUAAGCACCGGCUAACUUCGU